UCCCAUAUGGUCUAGCGGUUAGGAUUCCUGGUUUUCACUCAGACGUUCCAGGUUUAACUCCCGGUAUGAGAA
rnacentral:tRNA from 1 species